rnacentral:rRNA from 1 species
CACGUAGUUAGCCGUGGCUUUCUGAUUAGGUACCGUCAAGAUGUGCACAGUUACUUACACAUUUGUUCUUCCCUAAUAACAGAGUUUUACGAGCCGAAACCCUUCAUCACUCACGCGGCGUCGCUCCGUCAGGCUUUCGCCCAUUGCGGAAGAUUCCCUACUGCUGCCUCCCGUAGGAGUCUGGACCGUGUCUCAGUUCCAGUGUGGCCGAUCACCCUCUCAGGUCGGCUACGUAUCGUCGCCUUGGUAAGCCGUUACCUUACCAACUAGCUAAUACGGCGCGGGUCCAUCUAUAAGUGAUAGCAAAACCAUCUUUCACUUUAGAACCAUGCGGUUCUAAAUGUUAUCCGGUAUUAGCUCCGGUUUCCCGAAGUUAUCCCAGUCUUAUAGGUAGGUUACCCACGUGUUACUCACCCGUCCGCCGCUAACUUCAAAGGAGCAAGCUCCUUAUCUGUUCGCUCGACUUGCAUGUAUUAGGCACGCCGCCAGCGUUCAUCCUGAGCCAGGAUCAAACUCU